rnacentral:tRNA from 2 species
UGGGGCGUAGCCAAGCGGUAAGGCACCGGUCUUUGGAACCGGCAUUCGUUGGUUCGAAUCCAGCCGCCCCAGCCA